rnacentral:rRNA from 1 species
GUGGGGAAUCUUCCGCAAUGGACGAAAGUCUGACGGAGCAACGCCGCGUGAGUGAAGAAGGUUUUCGGAUCGUAAAGCUCUUUCGUUAGGGACGAACGUGCUCUUUGUGAAUAAUGAGGAGUAAUGACGGUACCUAAAUAAGAAGCCACGGCUAACUACGUGCCAGCAGCCGCGGUAAUACGUAGGUGGCAAGCGUUGUCCGGAAUUAUUGGGCGUAAAGCGCGCGCAGGCGGGAUAUCAAGUCUGUCUUAAAAGUGCGAGGCUCAACCUCGUGAGGGGACAGAAACUGGUAUUCUUGAGUGUCGGAGAGGAAAGUGGAAUUCCAAGUGUAGCGGUGAAAUGCGUAGAUAUUAGGAAGAACACCAGUGGCGUAGGCGACUUUCUGGACGAAAACUGACGCUGAGGCGCGAAAGCCAGGGGAGCGAACGGGAUUAGAAACCCUGGUAGUCC